rnacentral:lncRNA from 1 species
GCCUAAUUCCACUGUGUAAUUUCCAUGCAUAACACUCAGAAGUACAGUGCUGAAGCAGGUUAGUAGCAGUGAAGAUGGGAAGGACCAGCUGAAUGGAGGAGAAAAAUUGCCCAGGUAGAAUUAAGGGGGAUGUGACAUCAUGGGAUAAUGGUAGGGUGGUCAGAGAGAGCAAAGAUUUCAACUGGCUGCGUUGGAGUUGGACAAAAAAUAAUAUCUAAAGAUAUUUUGGCACUAACGGCGCUAUCUGUAGCAAGAAAGUUGAGCAGUGUGAACUGUUGAGACUUCCAAGAAGACUUCAGAGAACCAAGACAGUGUAAAGGAAAACAGGAAAAAAGACUUGUUAGACAUUAUUAAGGGCACGAAAGUUGAAUUGAGCACAGUAAAUGUACAAACUACAAAGCCACCCAACAGAAGUCCACUUAAAAGCUACAACUGGCGGGCCUCAAAGAGCUACAGAGCAUGCUCCAAAGAAGAGAAAUGAGCCCCUGAGUCCUGAGUUGGUGGCAGCUGCAUCUGCUGCUCUGUUUUGACAAGCAAACAAGCCAGAACUGCUCAGGCAGCUCCGUAGCAUGAGGAAGAGUCAGGGGCACAGAGAGAUGGAGAGAGACCCAAUUAGGAAAAACAUAUUCAAGGGGAAGAGAUGUAAUAGUUUUGACGUGACGACAGUUACUAAAGAAGCACCUGAACAGACACAUCACCUUCACUUUGGGAUGUGGAAUUUGCUAAGUAAGCCACAGAAAAUGAACAUCCCUUCAGAAUGGGUUUGAAGAGCUGAUCCAGUGGAUUAAAGAGGGGAAACUGGGAGUUCCCAAUUAACAAUGAAGCAGGAGCUGACUAAGGCUUUGAAACAGAAACCAGAUGAUGCACAAUAUUAUUGUCAAAGAGCUUAUUGUCACAUUCUUCUUGGGAAUUACUGUGGAUCUGUAAAUAACUGACGAAAAACCCAUCUGUUUC